GUAGAGCGCUCCCUUUGCAUGGGAGAGGGCUGGGGUUCAAUUCCCCAUACCUCCA
rnacentral:tRNA from 1 species